UACAGAGGUGGCAAGCGUUGUUCGGAAUUACUGGGCGUAAAGGGCGCGUAGGCGGCCUUCUAAGUCGGACGUGAAAGCCCCAGGCUUAACCUGGGAACUGCGUCCGAUACUGGGAGGCUUGGAUUCGGGAGAGGGAUGUGGAAUUCCAGGUGUAGCGGUGAAAUGCGUAGAUAUCUGGAGGAACACCGGUGGCGAAGGCGGCAUCCUGGACCGAGAUCGACGCCGAGGCGCGAAAGCUAGGGGAGCAAACGGG
rnacentral:rRNA from 1 species